AACGAACGCUGGCGGCGUGUUCAAGACAUGCAAGUCGCACGGGAUAAGACAUGUAGUAAUACUUGUUUUAUUUAGUGGCGCACGGGUGAGUAACACGUGAAUUACAUGCCCUAUAGUGGGGAAUAGCCCAGGGAAACUUGGAUUAAUACCCCAUGGUAUCGAAAGAUUAAAGGUGGCCGCAAGGCUGUCGCUAUAGGAUUGGUUCGCGCCCUAUCAGCUUGUUGGUGAGGUAACGGCUCACCAAGGCAAUGACGGGUACCUGGUCUGAGAGGACGGUCAGGCACACUGGAACUGAGACACGGUCCAGACACCUACGGGUGGCAGCAGUCGAGAAUAAUUCACAAUGGGGGCAACCCUGAUGGUGCAACGCCGCGUGGAGGAUGACGGUCUUCGGAUUGUAAACUCCUGUCAUCUGGGAGAAAGACCUGACGGUAAAUAGCCGGCAGGGUUGAUAGUACCAGAAGAGGAAGGGACGGCUAACUUCGUGCCAGCAGCCGCCGUAA
rnacentral:rRNA from 1 species